UCAAGUUCUACAUUGCACAGAUCUGAAAAUACUAGAAAAUGGCCUCAAGAUUGUGACAUAAUCUACUCAUACAUGAAGGUGGAUGGACAACUCUAAAAAAUUUGUCAGACUUCUACAGUGUUGGAAUAUCAGAGUAGGUUUGAAAGAUUAUCAAAUCAAGCUAGAGAUUGGUCGGAACGAUAACUUCUGGAUACAUUUAUUGAAGGUCUUAUUCCAGAGAUCCGGUGUGAAGUUAAGGCUCGUCAACCUCGCACUAUGAUAGCUGCGAUCUCAUUCGUACAUCUACA
rnacentral:lncRNA from 1 species